rnacentral:rRNA from 1 species
GGGUCAGUAGGUUGGUCGUGCCACCGGUACGUACUGGUCUCACUGAUUCCUCCUUCCUGAAGAACCGUAAUGCCAUUAAUUUGGUGCUGCGGGGAAACAGGACUGUUACUUUGAAAAAAUUAGAGUGUUUAAAGCAGGCUAACGCUUGAAUACAUUAGCAUGGAAUAAUGAAAUAGGACGAUCGAUCCUAUUUUGUUGGUUUCCAGGAUUGACGUA